ensembl:antisense Gm13583 predicted gene 13583
AGUGCUCAAGCAGUGAGAAAUGGAGCUGUCACAAAACAUGGCCAAGCACAUCGUAGCCGUUUCCCGGUUCCUGCGCCUGACUAUAUGAACUUAACCUCUGCUGCCAGUUUUAUGUCAGCUUGA